UAGAGUUUGAUUCUGGCUCAGGAUGAACGCUGGCGGUAUGCUUAACACAUGCAAGUCGAACGGAGUUCUUCGGAACUUAGUGGCGGACGGGUGAGUAACCCGUGAGAAUCUGGCAAAAGGUUCGGGACAACAGUUGGAAACGGCUGCUAAUCCCGGAUGUGCCUGUGGGUGAAAGAUUAAUCGCCUUUUGAUGAGCUCGCGUCUGAUUAGCUAGUAGGUGUGGUAAGAGCGCACCUAGGCGACGAUCAGUAGCUGGUCUGAGAGGAUGACCAGCCACACUGGGACUGAGACACGGCCCAGACUCCUACGGGAGGCAGCAGUGGGGAAUUUUCCGCAAUGGGCGAAAGCCUGACGGAGCAAUACCGCGUGAGGGAGGAAGGCUCUUGGGUUGUAAACCUCUUUUCUCAGGGAAUAAGAAAGUGAAGGUACCUGAGGAAUCAGCAUCGGCUAACUCCGUGCCAGCAGCCGCGGUAAU
rnacentral:rRNA from 1 species